CAGCCCAGCCUCCGCGCUUUCGCUCCGCCAGUCCUUGUCAAUCAAACCUGAUGCCAAACGCGGCAGCUGAAGUUUUCAGGGACACAUUUGCUUCUCCCCUUGAAGAACCAAUUACAAAGCCUGAUUUCCUCUCUGGGGUCCCAUCAGAACAAAGAAACAGGUCUAAAGACCCUCAUUCCAGACAGCAUCCUGCCCCAUACCCAGAAUGAAAUCCAUGCUCAGAGAUGCAAAGAAGAAUCUAGACAGACAGGCCUUUCUC
rnacentral:antisense_RNA from 1 species